rnacentral:rRNA from 1 species
GUGGGGAAUUUUGGACAAUGGGCGAAAGCCUGAUCCAGCCAUGCCGCGUGCAGGAUGAAGGCCUUCGGGUUGUAAACUGCUUUUGUACGGAACGAAAAGACUCCUUCUAAUAAAGGGGGUCCAUGACGGUACCGUAAGAAUAAGCACCGGCUAACUACGUGCCAGCAGCCGCGGUAAUACGUAGGGUGCAAGCGUUAAUCGGAAUUACUGGGCGUCAAGCGUGCGCAGGCGGUUAUAUAAGACAGAUGUGAAAUCCCCGGGCUCAACCUGGGAACUGCAUUUGUGACUGUAUAGCUAGAGUACGGUAGAGGGGGAUGGAAUUCCGCGUGUAGCAGUGAAAUGCGUAGAUAUGCGGAGGAACACCGAUGGCGAAGGCAAUCCCCUGGACCUGUACUGACGCUCAUGCACGAAAGCGUGGGGAGCAAACAGGAUUAGAAACCCCAGUAGUCC